rnacentral:rRNA from 1 species
AUUGAACGCUGGCGGCAUGCCUUACACAUGCAGGUCGAACGGCAGCACGGGAGCAAUCCUGGUGGCGAGUGGCGAACGGGUGAGUAAAGUAUCGGAACGUGCCCAGUCGUGGGGGAUAACGUAGCGAAAGUUACGCUAAUACCGCAUACGAUCUAUGGAUGAAAGCGGGGGAUCGCAAGACCUCGCGCGAUUGGAGCGGCCGAUAUCAGAUUAGGUAGUUGGUGGGGUAGGGGCUCACCAAGCCGAAGAUCUGUAGCUGGUCUGAGAGGGAGACCAGCCACACUGGGACUGAGACACGGCCCAGACUCCUACGGGAGGCAGCAGUGGGGAAUUUUGGACAAUGGGCGUAAGCCUGAUCCAGCCAUGCCGCGUGCAGGAUGAAGGCCUUCGGGUUGUAAACUGCUUUUGUACGGAACGAAAAGGUUUGACUUAAUACGUUGGACUCAUGACGGUACCGUAAGAAUAAGCACCGGCUAACUACGUGCCAGCCGCCGCGGUAA